CCUACGGGAGGCUGCAGUGAGGAAUAUUGGUCAAUGGGCGCGAGCCUGAACCAGCCAAGUAGCGUGAAGGAUGACUGCCCUACGGGUUGUAAACUUCUUUUAUAAAGGAAUAAAGUUAGGCACGUAUACCUUUUUGUAUGUACCUUAUGAAUAAGGAUCGGCUAACUCCGUGCCAGCAGCCGCGGUAAUACGGAGGAUCCGAGCGUUAUCCGGAUUUAUUUGGUUUAAAGGGAGCGUAGAUGGGUUGUUAAGUCAGUUGUGAAAGUUUGCGGCUCAACCGUAAAAUUGCAAUUGAUACUGGCAGUCUUGAGUGCAGUAGAGGUAGGCGGAAUUCGUGGUGUAGCGGUGAAAUGCUUAGAUAUCACGAAGAACUCCGAUUGCGAAGGCAGCUUACUGGACUGCCACUGACGUUGAUGCUCGAAAGUGUGGGUAUCAAACAGGAUUAGAUACCCUAGUAGUC
rnacentral:rRNA from 1 species